rnacentral:rRNA from 1 species
AUGCGAAAGUAAUGUGAAUUGCAGAAUUCAGUGAAUCAUCGUAAUCUUUGAACGCACAUUGCGCCCGCCAGUAUUCUGGCGGGCAUGCCUGUUCGAGCGUCAUUU